UAUAUAUAUACACAUAUUAAAAAUAGGAAAAAGAUGAAAACUGAAACUGAAAAAAGAAAAGAAGAAAUAACAGAAACUCACCGUUGAGUAAAAUUUCAUUGAGAUAUUGUCUGUUUACAGAAUAAAUGCACUGAAAAACAUGAAAGAAUGAUCAGUGCAAAUAUUUAAGGAAUACAAUGUCUGGAAAACGAUUCGUAGGAGUAAGUUAAAUCAAUUCCUGGAAGAACUCAGUGAUACUUAUCUACAGUAAUAAAAAAAAAUGUGAUAACAACUGAUGAUAACAAGAAGAAAUCUUUUCACGGCAACAAAGUUAAUGUCUCAAGAUAUACAUAUUUAAGUAAAUAUAUAUUUAUAUUAUGUAUGGAUGUCCUAUCUAACUUGAACAGC